GAGUUUGAUCAUGGCUCAGGAUGAACGCUGGCGGCGUGCCUAAUACAUGCAAGUCGAGCGGUAACACUUCGGGUGACGAGCGGCGGACGGCUGAGUAACGCGUAGGAACGUACCCCAAACUGAGGGAUAAGCACCAGAAAUGGUGUCUAAUACCGCAUAUGAUCUUCGGAUUAAAGCUUCGGCGGUUUGGGAACGGCCUGCGUAUGAUUAGCUUGUUGGUGAGGUAAAAGCUCACCAAGGCGACGAUCAUUAGCUGGUCUGAGAGGAUGAUCAGCCAGACUGGGACUGAGACACGGCCCAGACUCCUACGGGAGGCAGCAGUAGGGAAUCUUCCACAAUGGGCGAAAGCCUGAUGGAGCAACGCCGCGUGCAGGAUGAAAGCCUUCGGGUCGUAAACUGCUUUUAUAUGCGAAGACUUCGACGGUAGCAUAUGAAUAAGGAUCGGCUAACUCCGUGCCAGCCGCCGCCGUAAU
rnacentral:rRNA from 2 species